ensembl:miRNA
UUCACGCCCAUGAGAUUGGCAAAAAUUAAAUGCUGCGAUAACCAAGUGUUGGUAAGGUUGUGGUUACAUACUGCUAGUGGGAAUGUAACUGGACCCAGCCACCUUGGAGAGCAGUAUAGUGAUGUCCAGUUGAAGGAGGGCAAAC